UGGGGAAUUUUGGACAAUGGGCGAAAGCCUGAUCCAGCAAUGCCGCGUGUGUGAAGAAGGCCUUCGGGUUGUAAAGCACUUUUGUCCGGAAAGAAAUCCUUGGCUCUAAUACAGUCGGGGGAUGACGGUACCGGAAGAAUAAGCACCGGCUAACUACGUGCCAGCAGCCGCGGUAAUACGUAGGGUGCAAGCGUUAAUCGGAAUUACUGGGCGUAAAGCGUGCGCAGGCGGUUUGCUAAGACCGAUGUGAAAUCCCCGGGCUCAACCUGGGAACUGCAUUGGUGACUGGCAGGCUAGAGUAUGGCAGAGGGGGGUAGAAUUCCACGUGUAGCAGUGAAAUGCGUAGAGAUGUGGAGGAAUACCGAUGGCGAAGGCAGCCCCCUGGGCCAAUACUGACGCUCAUGCACGAAAGCGUGGGGAGCAAACAGGAUUAGAUACCCCUGGUAGUCCACGCCCUAAAACGAUGUCAACUAGUUGUUGGGGAUUCAUUUCCUUAGUAACGUAGCUAACGCGUGAAGUUGACCGCCUGGGGAGUACGGUCGCAAGAUUAAAACUCAAAUGAAUUGACGGGGUU
rnacentral:rRNA from 1 species